UGGGGAAUAUUGGACAAUGGGGGCAACCCUGAUCCAGCCAUGCCGCGUGUGUGAAGAAGGCCUUUUGGUUGUAAAGCACUUUAAGCAGUGAAGAAGACUCCAUGGUUAAUACCCAUGGACGAUGACAUUAGCUGCAGAAUAAGCACCGGCUAACUCUGUGCCAGCAGCCGCGGUAAUACAGAGGGGGCAAGCGUUAAUCGGAAUUACUGGGCGUAAAGCGAGCGUAGGUGGCUUGAUAAGUCAGAUGUGAAAGCCCCGGGCUUAACCUGGGAACGGCAUCUGAUACUGUUAGGCUAGAGUAGGUGAGAGGAAGGUAGAAUUCCAGGUGUAGCGGUGAAAUGCGUAGAGAUCUGGAGGAAUACCGAUGGCGAAGGCAGCCUUCUGGCAUCAUACUGACACUGAGGUUCGAAAGCGUGGGUAGCAAACA
rnacentral:rRNA from 1 species